AACGAUAAAGGCAAACUCUGAGCGAUCAGAGGACGCAAAGUAAAGGAUCUUUAAGGCCCCAAAAUUAUCGCUGAAAAGAUAGCCCUACUACCGAAA
rnacentral:ncRNA from 1 species